rnacentral:rRNA from 1 species
AAUUGAAGAGUUUGAUCAUGGCUCAGAUUGAACGCUGGCGGCAGGCCUAACACAUGCAAGUCGAACGGUAGCACAGAGAGCUUGCUCUCGGGUGACGAGUGGCGGACGGGUGAGUAAUGUCUGGGAAACUGCCCGAUGGAGGGGGAUAACUACUGGAAACGGUAGCUAAUACCGCAUAACGUCGCAAGACCAAAGUGGGGGACCUUCGGGCCUCACACCAUCGGAUGUGCCCAGAUGGGAUUAGCUAGUAGGUGGGGUAACGGCUCACCUAGGCGACGAUCCCUAGCUGGUCUGAGAGGAUGACCAGCCACACUGGAACUGAGACACGGUCCAGACUCCUACGGGAGGCAGCAGUGGGGAAUAUUGCACAAUGGGCGCAAGCCUGAUGCAGCCAUGCCGCGUGUAUGAAGAAGGCCUUCGGGUUGUAAAGUACUUUCAGCGAGGAG